rnacentral:rRNA from 1 species
AACGAACGCUGGCGGCAUGCCUAACACAUGCGAGUCGAACGAGACCUGCGGGUCUAGUGGCGCACGGGUGCGUAACGCGUGGGAACCUGCCCUUAGGUUCGGAAUAACUCCCCGAAAGGGGUGCUAAUACCGGAUAAUGUCUUCGGACCAAAGAUUUAUCGCCUUUGGAUGGGCCCGCGUUGGAUUAGCUAGUUGGUAGGGUAAAAGCCUACCAAGGCGACGAUCCAUAGCUGGUCUGAGAGGAUGAUCAGCCACACUGGGACUGAGACACGGCCCAGACUCCUACGGGAGGCAGCAGUGGGGAAUAUUGGACAAUGGGCGAAAGCCUGAUCCAGCAAUGCCGCGUGAGUGAUGAAGGCCUUAGGGUUGUAAAGCUCUUUUACCCGGGAUGAUAAUGACAGUACCGGGAGAAUAAGCUCCGGCUAACUCCGUG